AGAGCUUUCAUGAAUGGGAUUGAUGCCCUUAUAAAAGAGGACUGAGGGAGCUUAGUCACUCCUUCUACCAUGUAAGAAUACAGCAAGAAGUUGGCAGCCUGCACCCCAGAAAAGGGUCCUCACCAGAACCUCACCAUGCUGACACCCUGAUCUUGGACUUGCCGGUCUCCAGAACUAUUGAGAAUAUCUGUAGAGAAAAGAAGUGAGACAUCACGUGAGUAAAUACAACAUUGAAAAGCCCAGCAUUUACAGAUUAGCAGGAAAGGUUCUGACAACAACUUGAUUAAUGCGAAACUAAACUAAAUUAAUCUCUGAUCACCAUAAAAAGGAGAAGCUGAAAUGUUUGUUUUUUCCCAUGAAGGAUUUUUUUCCUGUGUUUUAUGUGGAAUUGACUAAAAAAAAGUCCACAAUUUCAAAACUUUUUUGGCAAAAACUUUGUGUACCUGCAGCUAGCAUUUCAGCCAGCAUGAGCAAGUACGAGGAAGUGAAAGGACUAAAGAAGAGAAUACAGUCAAAGGAAAAUCAUGGAAUAAAGAAAGACCAGACACAGAGAUAAUAUACAUACUUUUUUUAAAAAAAAGGAAGGAAGUUGAGGGAAACUUUUUUUGUUAUUUCCCAUAUCUAGUCAGUCAACAAGUUUUAUUUUGUUUUGUUUUAAAGAGAUGGGUCUUGUUCUGUCACCUGGGCUGGAGUACAGUGAUGUUGUCAUAGCUCACUAUAGUCUCAAAUUCCUGGGCUCAAGGGAUCCUCCCACCUCAGCCUCCCAAGUAGAUAGGACCUAUGGGUGCAUGCCACCAUGUCCAGUUAAUUUUGUUUUUGUAUUUUUUGUAGAGAUGGGGUCUAAUAUGGUUAGGCUUUGUGUCCUCACCCAAAUCUCAUCUUGAGUUGUAAUCCCCAUAACCCUGCAUGUCAAGGGAGAGACCAGGUGGAGGUAAUUGAAUCACAGGGGACAGUUUCCCCCAUGACAUUCUCAUGGUAGUGACUUCUCAUAAGAUCUGAUGGUUUUAUAAGGGAUUAUUCCACCUUCACUUGGCACUUUUUCCUGCUGCCUUGUGAAGAAGGUGCCUUGCCUCCCCUUCACCUGCCACCAUGAUUGUAAGUUUCCUGAGGCCUCUCCAGCCAUGCUAAACUGUGAGUCAAUUAGACCUCUUUGCUUUAUAAAUUACCCAGUCUUAGGCAGUUCUUUAUAGUAGUAUGAAAAUGGACUAAUACAGUAAGUUGGUACUGCAGAGGGUGGGGUUCUGCUAUAAAGAUACCCAAAAAUGUGGAAGCAACUUUGGAACUGGGUAACAGGCAGAGGUUAGAACAGUUUGGAGGGCUCAGAGAAGACAGGGAAAUGUGGGAAAGUUUGGAACUUCCUAGAGACUUGUUGAAUGCCUUUGACCAAAAUGCCGAUAGUGAUAUGGACAAUGAAGUCCAGGCUGAAGUGGUCUCAGAUGGAGAUGAGGAACUUGUUGGGAACCAGAAUAAAGGUGACUAUUGCUAUACUUUAGCGAAGAGACUGGCAGCAUUCAUUUUUCCCCUGUCCUAGAGAUCUGUGGAACUUUGAUCUCGAAGGAGAUGAUAUAGGGUAUCUAGUGGCAGAAAUUUCUCAGCAGCAAUGUGUUCAAGAAUUGACUUGGAUGCUCCUAAAAGCAUUCAGUUUUAUGCAUUCAUAAAGAGAUGGUUUGGAAUUGGAACUUAUGUUUAAAAGGGAAGUGGAGUGUAAAAGUUUGGAAAAUGUGUAACCUCAUGAUGCGAUAGAAAAGAAAAACCCAUUUUCUGAAGAGAAAUUUAAGCCAGCUGCAGAAAUUUGCAUAAGUAACAAGAAGCCAAAUGUUAAUUGCCAAGACAGUGGAGAAGAUGUUUCCAGGGCAUGUCAGAGAACUUCAUAGCAGCACCUCCCAUUACAGGCCUGGAGCCCUAGGAGGAAAAAAUGUUUUUGUGGGCUGGGCCCAGGGCCUAGCUGCUUUGGGCAGUCUUGGGACUUGGUGCCCUGCGUUCCAGCCAUGGCUAAAAGGGGAUAACAUAGAGUUCAGGCUAUUGCUUCAGAGGGUGCCAGCCACAAGCAACACGUGGUAUUGAGCCUGUGGGUACACAGAAGUCGAGAACUGAGGUUUGGGAACCUCUGCCUAGAUUUCAGAGGAUGUAUGGAAAUGCCUGGAUGCCCAGGAGGAAGUUUGCUGCAGGGGUGGAGCUCUCGUGGAGAACCUCUGCCAGGGCAGUGCAGAAGAGAAAUGUGGGGUUGAAGCCCCUACAUAGUCCCCACUGGAGCACUGCCUAGUAGAGGUGUGAGAAGAGAGCCACUGUCCUCCAGACCCCAGAAUGGUAGAUCCACCGACAGCUUGCACUGUGUUCCUGGAAAAGACACUCAAUGCCAGCCUGUGUAAGCAGCCAGGAGAGGGGUUGUACCCUGCAAAGUCAUAGGGGCAGAGCUGCCCAAGGCCAUGGGAACCCAUCUCUUGCAUCAGCAUGAUCUAGAUAUGAGACAUGGAAUCAAAGGAGAUCACUUCAGAGCUUAAGAUUUGACUGCCCUGCAGACUUCAGACUUGCAUGGGGUCUGCUGCAUCUUCAUUUUGGCCAAUUUCUCCCAUUUGGAAUUGAUGUAUUUACUCAAUGCUUGUACCCCCAUUGUAUCUAGGAAGUAACUAACUUGCUUUUGAUUUUACAGGCUCAUAGGCGAGACUUGCCUUGUCUCAGAUGCAACUUUGAACUUGGACUUUUGGGUUAAAUGCUGGAAUGAAUUAAGACUUUGGGGGACUGUUGGGAAGGCAUGAUUAGUUUUGAAAUGUGAAAAGGACAUGAGAUUUGGAAGGAGCCAGGGACGGAAUGAUAUGGUUAGGCUUUGUGUCUCCAUCCAAAUCUCAUCUUGAAUUGUAAUCCCCAUAAUCCCCAUGUGUCAAGGGAGAGACCAGGUGGAGGUGAUUGAAACAUGGGGGGCAGUUUCCCCAUGCUGUUCUCAUAAUAGUCAGUGGGUUCUCAUGAGAUCUGAUGGUUUUAUAAGGGACUCUUCCCCUUUCACUUGGCACUUCUCCUUUCUGCUACCUUGUGAAGAAGGUGCCUUGCUUCCCCUUUGCCUUCUGCCAUAAUUGUAAGUUUCCUGAGGCCUCUCCAGCCAUGCUGAUCCAUGAGUCAAUUAAACGUCUUUCCUUUAUAAAUUACCCAGUCUUGGCCGGUUCUUUAUAGCAGUAUGAAAAUGGACUAAUAUGGGAUCUUACUGUGUUGCUCAGGUUGGUCUUGAACUCCUGGUCUCAAGCAGUCCUCAACCUUUGCAUCCCAAAGUGUUAGGAUUACAGGCAUAAGCCAUCAUGCCAGGCCAACAAGUUCUUUAAAUGGAUUCUCUAACAAAUCUUCCUUUCCAUUUCACCACUUUCUUUUAGACAAUAACACAUAUCCUUGGUUAAAAGAAAACCAGGUCAUGUUCUUUUUAUUUUGGAAUAUUCCAAUACCUGUAUUACCGGUAUUCAUGCCACCUUAAAACUCUAUCAAACACUACUGUCAAUAUAUUGCUUUUCUGCUCUGCUCAGAAACCUUCCAGGGUUCCCUAGUACCAAUUUUAUUAUAUUGAAUAUAAGCUUUAAGUUUAAGCUGGCUCUUACAACCCUUCAAUAUAUGACCCCAUCCUAUCUAGCCCUCAUCAGUCUAACCAGCAUUGCCUUCUCAUACAGCCUUCUGUGUUCUUUCCAUUUAAAAUGUCCUUCCUGCUUUGCUUUUAUUCUCUGAAUUCUACCUCUUAUUGAAAGUCCAGUCAAGUUUUCCCUUCUUUGUGAAAUUUU
rnacentral:lncRNA from 10 species